UUUUUUUUUUUUUUUACUUUCUCUGCUGGGAGAGUGUUCUACCACUCAGCUACACCCCAAUAAUCAAUAAUGACCAUUUUUAAAAAUUGUUUUGGUGAGCCCCUCCCCUGAAUGCUACCUCACCGCACUGAGUGUCCCCUGCCAUAGUCACAGGGACAGGUCUCUCAUGUGAAGUCAGGCACUUAACAUGGAUGUGAAAUGCCAAAUAUAUACAGGACUGGGGGAUUUCUGCCAGUUGAUGGGGAGCCUGUAGAAAGGGCUAUUUUUAGGCAAGGAGACCGGUGUUUUAUACAGAAAUGCCCAGGACCCUCUGGUACAUUAGGGGUUGUGCAGGGUGUGUCCCUGGGUCCCUGCAGAGAUCAGGUCCAUACUGAGCCUGUGUGAAGCAAUGGAGGCUGAAGGCCACCAGAGCCCUCCAGGGACUCCUGGGUGCUCUCUGGAGCCCUGUGGUGUAGGCGCAGCCGCUGGCCCAGUUCAGACGGUGUGGAUGAGAUUGUCCCCUACUCUUGACGGUGGUAACAAUUAAAACAAAAUUUAAAAUUUUAACUAAAACAAAAAUUUUGCCCUUUCAAUCUCGUAAUCUGUAGGUUAUGUUUUUGAAUGCACAUAGACCCCCACUUUGCAUGCUACCUUGAGUGAGCCUACUUAGGUAGUGAAGGUGUGACAUGUAAACUAAAAUGAUGUAUAAGGGAGCUUUCAUUGACACCUACACAUUUUGGAAGUAAAAAUCUGAAAAGCAAUACCAAAAUAUUAUAGAAAACAAAUUUAUCUCAUUUUGAAUGUAAAAUAUUUUAGGCAUUCACACUUGUGGCUUUGAAAACCUUGAUGGGGAUCACUGAGCAUGAUCUUUUUUUCUGGUGUUGGGGACUGAACACAGGCUUCAUGCAUGCUGGGCAAGCUUUCCUCCACUGAGCUACACCCCUGCCCUGAGCACAAACUUAAUGCUUAGAGGUCCGAGGGGAAUGUGCAGAGAGCAGGUAGCACAGUGGACAAGGGUCAGCAUUCUGGCUCACAGUCGUGGCUCUGUGCUAACGAACUGCGUGAUCAUGGGCAAGUUGUUCAAGGAAACUGAGGCACCAGGUGGUCCCUAAAAGGCAAGCAUAUUAAAGAAUCUUUUCCAGAUUCCUCCCCUUGGUCAUGGACCUGGUAAGUCUUAUGCAUACCCUGCCAAAGUCACCAUCAGGAUGCAGAAGCCCUGUGACAGACAAUAACUUUUGUUCUUCAUCAGCUGAAACGUUGCGUAUUUUCAUCAUUUACCCAAGAGUGAGGCUUGUGAAACGAACAUUCCUGUGUCAUUCACGGCACCUACUGCUCAACACACGACGGUUCAUCUUUUUAUAGUUGUUACUCAACAGUGAGUGUUGAAUACCUUCUGGUACCUCUCAUUCUGGAUGCCUCAACUAUUGGAGGAGACUAGAACAUUCAGUCAGAUGGGCUGCAGCCUAGAUGGGCUUUGCCUCAUUAAUUCUUCUCUGUCAGCUCUGCAGCCUGCAUCCAGACUUUGGAUGGAGCCUCAGGAAAUCCUCCCAUCCCCCUCCUCUGAGCCAUAUCAAACUCUGUGCUUUCUACCUGCAGGGAAAGUAUAAAAGGACCAAAUUUUUAAAAACAAACAUCAGUGGCCUAAAAGUUUGGGUAAGUCUUAGAAGCACCAGGCGACCUGAACCAAUGCUUGGUGGCUCAUGGGGCCCACGGAGUGUGCCCAGGGUGCCGCUCCACAGCUGGGUGGCCCUGAGCACCUGUGGAGACACAGGGCCUCUGUAAAAUAGGCUAAGCCGGGCUCCGUGCAGGGUUGUACAGAGUGGACCAGGAAGUGCACCAAGCAGAUGUUCCCAAGGGCGGCAGGCUGCGGGAGGCCCCAGCUGCCUCAGCAGUGCCUUCUUGGUCUGGGCUUCCCCUUCUUCCUCUGGAGGCCACCUGAAGGAGCCUGAGAAGAUAGAACCUAGAUGUUCACGUAGAUGGUGUCAGGGGGCCUGGCCAGGGCUCACCCAACACAGGGACCUGCCGCGUCCUGGUGUUCACCUGGACCUGUCCCUCAGCACCAUUCCGUCCCCACUUGUGCCAACAGCAGCCCCAUGACAGGUGGAAAACAAACAGUGGGGGGGAGGGGGCAGCAUGCACAUCAAGGACUUGGAGGAGGAAAGGAGAAAGGUGGUUCAAGUGGCCCAGGAGGGCAGUGUCUGAGCCAGGAGCACAGGUAGGACAUUAAGAGCCUGCAGGAAGGUGAGGCAGGACCACUGUCUGAGCUGCGCUGCAGGGGCCACAAGAAUCUAAACUUGAAGUUCAGGGAAAGAGGACAUCAAGAGAAGGGGUGGGAAGGAGAUGAUGUGGGCCUCCGGGAAUGGGAAGGCUCUGUGGUGUGACUCAGAAUUCGAAGUUCAAGUACAAGAUGCUCCUUAGCUUGCCUGUGUGUGGUGUCACCCGCCAGGCCUCCUGGAGACAGAGGUUUGUGGCUAGUCAGCAUAUGUGUCCUAAACCAGGCCCUUGCCCCAGGUCCUCACUGAGUCUGCAGGCUGGUGGCAUCCAGAAGGCACCAGGUCCUGGGCAGGUCAGCUGGAGAGGGAGGGGCAGCAUGAGCAGGCCCUGAUCAGGAACACGGGGUGCAGGGGAAAAUGCAUGUGGCUUUGGAAGGCUGUGGGGGACACAGCACUGCUAGUAGGGGCCGGGAGGCGAUGGUUAGACUGGACACCUCAGAGUCCUGGGUCACUGCAUAGCAGACUGCAGGACACCUGGACUUCCCCUGUCACUAGCACUCCAGCUCCUCUGCUGCUGGGAGCUGCUGGUGACCCUCAAGUGAGGAGAGGGAGUGCCCCACGCGGGUGCCAGGGGAUCAGGGAGAACUUCCCUUGCUAGAGGUGCCUCCCUGCUAGAAUGAUCCAACACAC
rnacentral:lncRNA from 1 species